GAAAUGCGAUAAGUAAUGUGAAUUGCAGAAUUCAGUGAAUCAUCGAGUCUUUGAACGCACAUUGCGCCCCCUGGUAUUCCGGGGGGCAUGCCUGUCCGAGCGUCAUUGCUGCCCUCAAGCACGGCUUGUGUGUUGGGCUUCGCCCCCCGGCUCCCGGGGGGCGGGCCCGAAAGGCAGCGGCGGCACCGCGUCCGGUCCUCGAGCGUAUGGGGCUUCGUCACCCGCUCUGUAGGCCCGGCCGGCGCCCGCCGGCGACCCCAAUCAAUCUUUCCAGGUUGACCUCGGAUCAGGUAGGGAUACCCGCUGAACUUAA
rnacentral:misc_RNA from 1 species